GAUGAAGAACGCAGCGAAAUGCGAUAAGUAGUGUGAAUUGCAGAAUUCAGUGAAUCAUCGAAUCUUUGAACGCACAUUGCGCCUUCUGGUAUUCCGGAAGGCAUGCCUGUUCGAGCGUCAUUACAACCCUUAAGCCUAGCUGCUUAGCGUUGGGAACUUAGCCUCCAAAGCUAAUUCCUUAAAGACAUUGGCAGAGUUGCGGCAUACUCUAAGCGUAGUAAUUUAUUCUCGCUUCUGAAGGUGUCGUGACGAUCGCCACAAACCUCUAUAUUUCUAGUGGUUGACCUCGGAUCAGGUAGGAAUACCCGCUGAACUUAAGCAUAUCAAUAAGCGGAGGA
rnacentral:misc_RNA from 1 species